CGCACAUCGGUGACUUCACCGGGGGCCUCGGCGGAAACGCGGUGUGAGCGACCCCGGAGGGCACAACGGUCCAACGCGCUCGAGUAGUGGAGAAGCAGUUGCGGGCGACGGUGAGGAACCGGUCCCUUGGAUGAGCUAAAAAGCAAGAUCAGAUGCAGAAUGGUACUGGGGGCCAGUGUGAAUGACUGUUACCGGAAGACGCCCAGAGUACCCUGUGAAGCAAAAGCUCGUGACCAGGACUACUCUAACGCAAGCCUGGUAACUAGUGGAUCUUUAGGAGAUCUGACCCAUGGUGGGCUGACUUGGCCUGGCAUCGUCCGGUGAGGAAGCUACCUGGGUCUAGGAGUGUGUGUACCCAUCUUCCCUUCCCCUUUCCUUUCCGUGUGGGCUACUGACAGUCUGAUCAUCUCACUGGAUGCAAUCAGAGUAAGCGGCGCCGUCUCCCAGAGACUAGCCGACGCUCUUUGCU